rfam:Schistosoma margrebowiei strain Zambia genome assembly, scaffold: SMRZ_contig0003045
AUACAGCUGACGAGUCCCAACUAGAACGAAACACGCGUCCUGGAU